AUGUCACAGCACCAAUUUGCCUUGCUGCGGCACAGCUACAGUCCACGAGGUAGCGUGGACCGAGGUAGCGUGGACCGGGGUUGCGUGGACCGGGGUUGCGUGGACCGGGGUUGCGUGGACCGGGGUUGCGUGGACCGAGGUUGCGUGGACCGAGGUUGCGUGGACCGAGGUUGCGUGGACCGAGGUUGCGUGAAUUUAGAACUUAGUCAAUAUUGCUUGCUGCAUCAGGUUACCAUGACGGUCACAACAGGGUCAAAGUUGAAUGUCUCUUGUUCAGUUGCUGCCAAAUCAACGGCAAUAUAAAAAGGUGAAUGCCGACAAGAAAGAGGUAAAGAUGUGGCUGUUUGAAAAGGGAACAUAAGCCCAGUUGUUUUUACAGACAACAUACGGUGAAUCCUAUGUGAAAGACAUAUUAGUAAGGGCCAAGUCUUGAUACGCAAAACUGCCAAGACGCCAUUCAUAUUGGCUACAACUAGUUGCUUUUCUCAGAGAUCCUAGAUCAUAUCAUUUCUUCUGACACAUGACCCGUUUGCUUGCCUUGCCCAUUUCAAACCUGUUCCAGUCUUUGAUGUGUAAUACAUGUGGAACUCGCACUAAUUUGACACAUUACUAAAGUGAACAGCCCGUGCUAACCAACUGGUGCUAGCCAACUGGCAUCCUCCACACAGGCAGGCAGCACAGAGAUACACAGGGUACUGAUGCUUAAGUACAGACAUCCAUCCAAGGUAGCAUCCCAAAUGGCACCCUAUUCCUUAUAAAAUGCACUACUUUUAACCAGGGCCCCCAUAGGGCUCUGGUCAAAAGUAGUGCAUGACGUAGGGAAUAGGGUGCCAUUUGGGAUUGGGACCCAAGCCAAGUUUCCUCUCGGACCUCACAGCUCACAUCAUUUCAUUAAGAGAGGUAUUCCGGAGCGCAGAAGGCAGGCAGGCGAGGGGAGGCUGACGGGGUAAGAGAAGCGUAGCUCCAACUAAACAGGAAACUCUGUGGAAUGUCUUUCCACCCAAGGCCAGGCAGGGCCUCCAAUACCCGCUCUCUCCCUUGGUCUCAGGUCAAACCCUGGAUCAACUCUAGGCGAGGGUGCACACGCGCUAGUACAAAACGUUAUACAGCUGCACUAUUUGACAGCAUCUUGACUGGCUGCAUCGCCGCCUGGUAUUGCAACUGCUUGUCAUCCAACCGCAAGGCACUACAGAGGGUAGUACGUACGGCCCAGUACAUCACCGGGGUCUGAGCUCCCUGCCACCCAGGACCUCUAUAACAGGCAGUGUCAGCGGAAGGCCCUAAAUAUUGUCAAAGACUCCAGACACCAAAGCCAUAGACUGUUCUCUCUGCAACCGCAUGGCAAGUGGUACUGAUGCACGAAGUCUGGAACCAACAGAACUCUGAACAGCUUCUACCCCCAAGUCAUAAGACUGAUAAAUAGUUUACCAAAUAGCUACCUGAACUCUCUGCAUUGACCCUCUUUUGCACUGACUCAUCACAUACACUGCUGCUACUGUUUAUGAUCUAUCCUGUUACCUGAACCAGUCAAAAGUUGACACCUAAACUAUUGCAGGGUUUUUUUUUUUUUAACUGUUUUCUACAUUGUAGAAUAAUAGUGAAGACAUUACACUAUGAAAUAACACAAAUGGAAUCAUGUAGUAACCAAAAAAAAAAAGUGUUAAACAAAUCAAAAUAUAUUUUAUAUUUGGGAUUCUUCAAAGUAGCCACCCUUUGCCUUGACAACUUCACACACUUGGCACUCCCUCAACUAGCUUCACCUGGAAUGCUUUUCCAACAGUCUUGAAGGGGUUCCCACAUAUGCUGAGCACUUGUUGGCUGCUUUUCCUUCACUCUGCGGUCAAACUAAUUCAAAACCAUCUCAAUUGGGUUGAGGUCGGAUAAUUGUGGAGGCCAGGUCAUCUGAUGCAGGAACCAAAAAUCUCAAAUUUGGACUCAGACCAAAUGACAGAUUUCCACCUGUUUAAUGUGCAUUGGUCGUGUUUCUUGACCCAAGCAAGUCUCUUCUCCUUAAGUAGUGGUUUCUUUGCAGCAAUGUGACCACGAAGGCCUGAUUCACAGUCUCUUCUGAACAGUUUAUGUUGAGAUGUGUCUGUAACUUUACCUCUGUGAAGCAUUUAUUUGGGAUGCAAUUUCUGGGGCUGGUAAAGCCAGGUGACAUCCUCAUGAAAAUGGUUGAGAGAAUUCCAAGAGUGUUGAAAGCUGUUAUAUUUUGUAGAACCUGUUCAACACGUUUUUGGUUACUACAUGAUCCCAUAUGUGUUAUUUCAUAGUUUUGAUGUCUUCACUAUUAUUCUACAAUGUAGAAAAUAGUACAAAUAAAGAAAAACCCUGUCCAAACUUUUGACUGGUACUGUACAUAUCUACCACAAGGACCUCGUACCCCUGCACAUCAACUCGGUACUGAUACCCCGUGUAUAUAGUCAAGUUAUUACUCUGUGUAUUUAUUCCUUGUUUUAUUAUCUUUAUUUAUCUCUUGUUGUUAAGGGCCAGUAAAUGUGCAUUUCACUGUUCGUCUAUACCUGUUGUUUAUGAAGAAUGUGUUAAAUAACAUUUGAUUCGAUUUUGAACGUCAGUGUGAGUGGGCAGUGUGGGAUUACAAUGCCUCAGAAAUAUAAACCAGACUCCGACCAACACAGAGACCAAAAACAAUAUGACAGUCUUGCAAAACAGCCAUCAGCUUGCAAAAACAGCAAGGUUCUUUUACUCAGAAUCCCAGGCAUGUGCAUAACAGCUGACCACAGAACUUGAGAUGGCUGAGAAAAUGUGAUGUGUGUUUCCAAUAGUACCGGUGGUGAAAUACACAUUACAACACACCAGAAAGAAUCCUUCUAUUCGAGAAGCAUGAAUACAAAGCUCUGAAACACAGACUGCCAAUGACCUUUCUCCAAUCAGCCCAGGUCCGUCCAAUAGGCCUGCUGGAUGGAUGAUGAGUCAGAAAUCCACUGCCUCGUCUCUCCAAGAGGGAUACCACAUUUCUAUACAGAACAUGCAGUUAUUGUGGAUCUGUCUGAUUCCUUUCCAAAGGGUCACUUGUAAAAACUCAACAUCGAAGAGAAAAAUUAGGCUCUAGUCUUAUGGCUUAUUACUAACAGGCUCUAGUCUAGUCUAAUGGUUUAUUAUUAACAGGCUCUAGUCUAGUCUAAUGGCUUAUUAUUAACAGGCUCUAGUCUAGUCUAAUGGUUUAUUAUUAACAGGCUCUAGUCUAGUCUAAUGGUUUAUUAUUAACAGGCUCUAGUCUAGUCUAAUGGUUUAUUACUAACAGGCUCUAGUCUAGUCUAAUGGCUUAUUAUUAACAGGCUCUAGUCUAACG
ensembl:lncRNA